UGGCGACCAUAGCAAGAGUGAACCACCUGAUCCCUUCCCGAACUCAGAAGUGAAACCUCUUAGCGCUGAUGGUAGUGUGGGGUUUCCCAUGUGAGAGUAAGUCAUCGCCA
rnacentral:rRNA from 1 species